UACAGAGGUGCCAAGCGUUAGGCGGAAUCACUGGGCUUAAAGCGUGUGUAGGCGGAAUGGUAAGUACCUUGUGAAAUCCCACGGCUCAACCGUGGAACUGCUUGGUAUACUGCUUUUCUUGAGCCACUUAGGGGCUGUCGGAACAAACGGUGGAGCGGUGAAAUGCGUAGAUAUCUGGAGGAACACCGGUGGCGAAGGCGGCAUCCUGGACCAAUAUUGACGCUGAGGAGCGAAAGCCAGGGGAGCAAACGGG
rnacentral:rRNA from 1 species